CGACCUUUUAGUGGUGAAGCUAAAGGAAGAAAUUCUGGGUCUGCUGCCUUCUAAGCAGCGGGUCGCUGGUUCGAAUCCAGCCAGGGACGCCA
rnacentral:tRNA from 1 species